rnacentral:siRNA from 1 species
UAACGUAACGACGUUUGGUCCUA